UAGUCCACGCCGUAAACGAUGAUAACUAGUUGUUUGUGAUACACAAUAAGCGACAAAGCGAAAGCAUUAAGUUAUCCACCUGGGGAGUACGUUGGCAACAAUGAAACUCAAAGGAAUUGACGGGGGCCCGCACAAGCGGAGGAACAUGUGGUUUAAUUCGAUGAUACGCGAGGAACCUUACCCGGACUUAAAUGUAGAGUGACAGGUUUAGAGAUAGACUUUUCUUCGGACACUUUACAAGGUGCUGCAUGGUUGUCGUCAGCUCGUGCCGUAAGGUGUCGGGUUAAGUCCCAUAACGAGCGCAACCCCUAUCGUUAGUUGCCAGCAAGUAAAGUUGGGGACUCUAACGAGACUGCCUUCGCAAGGAGUGAGGAAGGCGGGGAUGACGUCAAAUCAUCAUGGCCCUUACGCCCAGGGCGACACACGUGCUACAAUGGACGGUACAGCGGGUAGCCAACUAGCAAUAGUGAGCCAAUCCCUAAAAGCCGUUCUCAGUUCGAAUUGGAGUCUGCAACUCGACU
rnacentral:rRNA from 1 species